rnacentral:rRNA from 1 species
CCUUGACAUACUAAGAACUUUCCAGAGAUGGAUUGGUGCCUUCGGGAACUUAGAUACAGGUGCUGCAUGGCUGUCGUCAGCUCGUGUCGUGAGAUGUUGGGUUAAGUCCCGCAACGAGCGCAACCCUUUUCCUUAUUUGCCAGCGGGUCAUGCCGGGAACUUUAAGGAUACUGCCAGUGACAAACUGGAGGAAGGCGGGGACGACGUCAAGUCAUCAUGGCCCUUACGGCCAGGGCUACACACGUGCUACAAUGGUCGGUACAAAGGGUUGCUACCUCGCGAGAGGAUGCUAAUCUCAAGAAGCCGAUCGUAGUCCGGAUCGCAGUCUGCAACUCGACUGCGUGAAGUCGGAAUCGCUAGUAAUCGCGGAUCAGAAUGCCGCGGUGAAUACGUUCCCGGGCCUUGUACACACCGCCCGUCACACCAUGGGAGUUUGUUGCACCAGAAGUAGGUAGUCUAACCGCAAGGAGGACGCUUACCACGGUGUGGCCGAUGACUGGGGUGAAGUCGUAACAAGGUAAGCGUAGAUGA